UAUUUUCUGUAAUAACACACAUUUAUUACCAGCUCUCUCUUACGCAGUACUCCAUUAAUCUAUCCAAGCUUCCCUCUUACAAUUUCUGUCUUUUUUCUUCAAAUUCUCCAUAAACUCCUCCGAUUUGAGCUUCAACGUACCAGUUGUAGCCUACACAUCAUAAUCAGGUAGUUCUCAGCUUUCAGCCAACAGGUACAAGUUGUAGCCCAAACAUCCUAAUCAAGCAGUUCUCAGCUUUCAGCCAGCAGGUGAUAAGUUAUUUUGUUUCGGGGACUCCAGUCCAUUGCAGUUCAUGUGUUGUAUUUUGAUUAUACAUAUGUAUUAAUUAGUGGUAGUUGGAGGCAUGUACUAGCUAUCUAUA